CUAUUUUAGGAUAGACUGUGCAUCUUAGAACAAACUAUUAAUUGAUUUUUUUUUUUGUCAAUCUUUUAGUGUCAUUAUACUCUGCAAUUUGUAAAACUUUACAAGAGAUGCAUAAAUAUAAAUAUGUAACAGGCAAGCCAAAUAAUGAUAGAACACAUUAACAUUAUUACAUUACUACAGAAACAAUAGGCAAUAGAAGCGUGAGAUCCUCAAAGUUUCAUUGUCUUACUUUUGUUACAGUACUUUUUUACAUAUUCCAAGAUAUCACACUGCUUUUUAAGAAUGUUACAUUUCUCUUGCUAAUAAAAAAGU